GCCAGCGUAGCUCAAUGGUAGAGCGUCAGGCUUUUACCCUUCGAGAAAUUUCGAAAUGUUAUGGAACCUGAAUGUUGCGGGUUCGACCCCCGCCGUUGGCU
rfam:Penicillium flavigenum strain IBT 14082 PENFLA_contig008, whole genome shotgun sequence.